GUUCUCAACUGGCCUCCCUGGUUAAAUAAAGGUGUUCUCAACUGGCCUACCUGGUUAAAUAAAGGUGUUCUCAACUGGCCUACCUGGUUAAAUAAAGGUGUUCUCAACUGGCCUACCUGGUUAAAUACAGGUGUUCUCAACUGGCCUACCUGGUUAAAUACAGGUGUUCUCAACUGGCCUCCUGGUUAAAUAAAGGUGUUCUCAACUGGCCUACCUGGUUAAAUAAAGGUGUUCUCAACUGGCCUACCUGGUUAAAUAAAGGUGUUCUCAACUGGCCUACCUGGUUAAAUAAAGGUGUUCUCAACUGGCCUCCCUGGUUAAAUAAAGGUGUUCUCAACUGGCCUCCCUGGUUAAAUAAAGGUGUUCUCAACUGGCCUACCUGGUUAAAUAAAGGUGUUCUCAACUGGCCUACCUGGUUAAAUAAAGGUGUUCUCAACUGGCCUACCUGGUUAAAUAAAGGUGUUCUCAACUGGCCUACCUGGUUAAAUAAAGGUGUUCUCAACUGGUCUACCUGGUUAAAUAAAGGUGUUCUCAACUGGCCUACCUGGUUAAAUAAAGGUGUUCUCAACUGGCCUCCCUGGUUAAAUAAAGGUGUUCUCAACUGGCCUCCCUGGUUAAAUAAAGGUGUUCUCAACUGGCCUACCUGGUUAAAUAAAGGUGUUCUCAACUGGCCUACCUGGUUAAAUAAAGGUGUUCUCAACUGGCCUACCUGGUUAAAUAAAGGUGUUCUCAACUAGCCUACCUGGUUAAAUAAAGGUGUUCUCAACUGGCCUCCUGGUUAAAUAAAGGUGUUCUCAACUGGCCUACCUGGUUAAAUAAAGGUGUUCUCAACUGGCCUACCUGGUUAAAUAAAGGUGUUCUCAACUGGCCUACCUGGUUAAAUAAAGGUGUUCUCAA